rnacentral:misc_RNA from 1 species
GAUGAAGAACGUAGCGAAAUGCGAUAAGUAAUGUGAAUUGCAGAAUUCAGUGAAUCAUCGAAUUUUUGAACGCACAUUGCGCCCCUUGGUAUUCCGAGGGGCAUGCCUGUUCGAGCGUCAUUAUAACCCUCAAGCUCAGCUUGGUGUUGGGGCCUGCUGCACUGGCAGCCCUUAAAAUCAGUGGCGGCGCCAUCUGGCUCUAAGCGUAGUAAUUCUUCUCGCUAUGGAGUCCUGGUGGAUGCUUGCCAUCAACCCCCAAUUUUUCUAUGGUUGACCUCGGAUCAGGUAGGGAUACCCGCUGAACUUAAGCAUAUCAAUAAGCGGAGGA